GGUUUGAAAUAUGCCAAUCCAUCAAACCGGCUCUUGACCAAACCGAGAGAGAGAGAGAGAUGAGAGGGGUGGGAGGGCCAUUGUUAUGCAUCGGCGAUCUGCUCAGCGACGUCGGAGAAAGUGAAGCCGGCAGUGAUAAGCUUCCACCGCGCCCCACCAUAACACCUUCACCGGACUACAAAUCCAGCCUCCAACCUUCCGAUCUGAACAACCUUUUCCAGAAAAACUAUGAGCAGCUGAACAAAGCACUUGCUGGUACAGAUAAUUCAUGGACGCAUCUCACACUGGAGCUAUGCACUGCUCUGGAGACUGCAAACAAGUUGGUUCACUCGACCAAUUCUAGUGUUGGCAUGUUGAAGGAUAAGGUUGAGGAGCUUUCAAAAGUCAUUAGUAGAAGAGACUCAGCUAUAGAAGCCGCAAAGGCCAUUGAAGGCUCUCCAAAACAACCUGAGAGCACUUAGUGAAGAUGUCUUAUCAUGAUGAUCAAUUUCCAAGUUGAAGUCCAACUCCCAAUAAAAUAAUUUCUUAUGACCAUAUUUUCCUGCCAGUGGAGUGUCAUUGGCCCGCUGUAUCUCAGAGUUAGCUGCAAAAGAGAAUAAUGCAGGAAAUUGCUCUAUAAAGGGGGCAAUGUCUUGACAUUCAUCUGCCGGAAGGAUAUCGUCCUUCCAUUCCAACUUUGAAGUGAGUCUUAGCACAAAACUCUUUCUAUAAGUUUCUGAUGCAUCUCUAGACACCAAUCCGAUACGUGUAGCUACUUGGCCUGGUACACCAAGGGUUCUGGGUGCCAAGCUUUGCUUGGAUAUUUCUCCAAAGUGUAAUCAUUAUUGCUGUAUCUCCACAACCUUUUUUAUAGAAGCGCUUACUAAGACCUCUCAGGAUUAAUUCAAGAUUUAUAUCCUUUUUCCAGUGUCCCAGAUGAUUACUGAUAAUCUCUCCUCUCUUUAUUGCCUUACCACAGACAAUUCUUCUCACUCUGUCAAAUCUUCGUUGCAUGGAUACAGCCGGAAAGAUGGACAUCAUGUAUGAGUGCAUCUUAUCCACAAGGGACAAGUAUUGCUUUUUUCAAUUCGAGGGUCUUCUUUCAACUUCCCCAUUCACCCUUUUCUAGAUUUGUGAUUGGCUCCUAAAACCAGUCCCAAGUAAGUAGUUGGGAGGGACUCUAGACUGCAACCAACACUGUCAUUUUUUUGAAGUCCUUGGGCAGAGUUGACAGUGUAUAUGCAGUUUCUGCUCAAGAUAAUAUGGAGGCGUUAGAAACAGCUUCAAACAACGAUUCUUCAGAUGCCUUAAUUGUUUUUCAUCUGCAUCAGAUUAAACAAGGGUGUCAUCUAUGUACAAAAUGUGGGAUAUUAUGAUCUGAUUCUGCCGCAAUCCACCCACAUUGAACCCACUGGCCACUAGUCCAAUCCUUCUGAAUGCAGCCUUAAGUAUCAUGCCAAGGCCUUUCAUAGCUAGGAUGAAGAGAAAGGGAGAUGAGGGUUCUCUUCGUCUUAUGCCCUUCCAGAUGGAAAGAAUCCUUCAGGCUUUCCACUUAUGGUGAUGGAAUAUUUGAUUGAGGAUAUGCACAAGUGGAUAUAAUGGAUCCGAGUUUGCAUACCCUACUUCCUUGGUUGCUCAUGAUCCAUCUUCAGCCUUUCGACGAUCAACUUAGCAACCGGCAACCGCUGUAUAAAACAUUCCAACCAAUCUUUAUGUUAUGUUCUUCUUCAGCUUCAAAGCACCACUUUCUUUUGAAUCAGUUCUAUGUAAAAUGAUUUUGUUUUUUGUUUUUGGUAGAAGGUUCGGAAAAGAAGUUCUAUGUAUUUUGUGAAAUGUUCGUUUAGAGUAUUUCAUGAAUCGAUGAUGCUGAACAACUUACGCAGCACUUAUUUUAUACUACAAAGUGUUUUCUUUAUUCA